rnacentral:lncRNA from 1 species
AACAAAACCAGCCGCCACACACAGCCAAAGAACAAGUAAAGAAUGCUUCCUUUCUAUUAGUAAUUUCUUCUUCUAAGUUGGUCUCUACAGACCAGCGGAAGCUAAGCUGCAUCUGUCCGGCCGGCGUGCUAGCUUGCACCUCGGUCCAUAGCGUGCUAGCUUGCAGCUGGUUACAGCCGAUCGACACGAAGUCAUCAUCUGCUAAGCUAGGGCUAGUCGAUCCAGCACCCACAGGAAGGUUCCGGAAUGGCGUCCCUGGCCAGAGACUGAUCGGCAAUUUCUUUUUAAUGGAAGAGGACAAUAAACAACUCGCAAUUAAUUAGUUGGCGAUCCGAGGCGAUAGAUCGAUCGCUAGCAAGCUGCGUCUCCAAAUUCAAAUUUCAAAACAACUGUACAAUACAAAGUUUGCUGUUUGUUUCGUCUCUUCUUUUUCCCUACCAUUGCUUUUUUUUUUGUCGAUUCGCACUACACCCAGCAGGGGGUGGGGGAAGUAAAAAAUAAAUAAAGAAGAAGAAGCAAAAGCCAACACCCUAGAGAAGAAAGUAUUUACACACAGGCCCUCAUGCACCUAGCAAGGCAGAAUGGCAGAUCGCUUGAUGAUCUCUCUCGGAUCUCGAUCCUUAUCGGUUCCUCCGCUUGCUCCCGCCGCCGCGCUUCGCCGGCCUCGUGGCUUCGUACAGCUCUGCCACCGUCCUGUACCGCUUCCUCGCCCUCCUGUCCAUCGGCCACGCCGCCGCAUCCUCGUCGUCCUCCGCGGCCGCCAGCGUCGUCCCCCUCGCUGCAGCCUCCCCGCCGCCUUUGUUCACCGAUAGCGUGGACGACGUCGGGGAAGACGCGGACGCCGCCGUGGCCUCCCCGCUGGCGCUCAGCUGCACCAGCUGGUCCGCCGCCGCGAGCUCCGCCUCCGUGAAGAAGCAGCCGAACCCGUCGCCUUCGCCGCCCAUCCUCUUCCUCCUCUCUACCUUGAUCUCCAUGGCGCCUCUCUCUCAGCACAGGCUUCGCUAAUUUCCUUUCCUUUGCUUUGUGGAAGGAGAAUCGAGAUCGAUGCCGUGGGAGAAUUGAGCCGGGCCAGCGGGGGCGAGUUUAUAUAUGGCGGAAGGCCGGAGGACCCAGAGGCGAAUGUACUAGAAACCGCCUUAGACCGCACGCACGAUCAGGCGCGCGUCCGGGUCGCCGGAAAGCGGGGCCCGCCUGUCGGCUUGGGGGGCUGCUGCGGUGGCGACAGUUGCUGAGGAGGUGGAGCCACGGCGGCCUAUGGGACGUGGACGCGUGGAGGACGGUGAGUGGUGCGCUGGCGUCACUCGCUGAAAAUAUCCCGGCGACCUUGAGAUAGGGUGUCUGCGAAAGCUUGGCUCGAAGCGGCAGCCAACCGACCUUCCUCCUGAUAUUUUUGCCUCCAGGUUUGUAAAAAAACCAAACUGACCAGGGCUACUGUAAAUAAAACUGUAGAACUAUGUGUGUCUGACACUGUAAAUUCUCGAAGAUGAACGGAAUGGAUUUCUGCUUGCUCUCGAAGCUACUGACCAUUUCUUUAUUUACAGUGAGGAAUGCAGCUACGCUACGUCGCUACUCCCAUCCUGC